UACGGAGGGUGCAAGCGUUAUCCGGAUUCACUGGGGUUAAAGGGUGCGUAGGUGGGCAGGUAAGUCCGUGGUGAAAUCUCUGAGCUUAACUCAGAAACUGCCGUGGAUACUAUUUGUCUUGAAUGUUGUGGAGGUGAGCGGAAUAUGUCAUGUAGCGGUGAAAUGCUUAGAUAUGACAUAGAACACCAAUUGCGAAGGCAGCUCACUACACAAUUAUUGACGCUGAGGCACGAAAGCGUGGGGAUCAAACAGG
rnacentral:rRNA from 1 species